rnacentral:rRNA from 1 species
UAGUCCACGCCGUAAACGAUGGAUACUAGCUGUCCGGGGCUUUAAGUUCUGGGCGGCCAAGCGAAAGUGAUAAGUAUCCCACCUGGGGAGUACGUUCACAAGAAUGAAACUCAAAGGAAUUGACGGGGGCCCGCACAAGCGGUGGAGCACGUGGUUUAAUUCGAUGAUACGCGAGGAACCUUACCAGGGCUUAAAUGUAGUAUGACAGGGGUGGAAACACCUUUUCCUUCGGGCAUAUUACAAGGUGCUGCAUGGUUGUCGUCAGCUCGUGCCGUGAGGUGUCAGGUUAAGUCCUAUAACGAGCGCAACCCCAGUUGUUAGUUGCCAACGAGUCAUGUCGGGAACUCUAACAAGACUGCCGGUGCAAACCGUGAGGAAGUGGGGAUGACGUCAAAUCAUCACGGCCCUUACGUCCUGGGGCCACACACGUGCUACAAUGGCCGGUACAGAGAGCAGCCACUACGCGAGUAGGGAGCGAAUCUAUAAAACCGGGUCUCAGUUCGGGAUCGGGAGUCUGCAACUCGAC